rnacentral:lncRNA from 1 species
UGGGGGUGCGUCACUUGCUGACCUGGCUGUAGCGUGGCGUGGCAUCGGCCGUGAUGUGUCUUAGACCCAAAAUAUACCUUAUCAGCUAUUGCUUUCUUUCUCGUUUCUCUCAUUCCUUUUUUUUUUUUUGUAGCCUAAUGCUUUGAUCACUGGAUUUAUUAUGUUUGCGUAUUGGUCAUCCGAGUUUAAAAUAAGUCUUUAUAAAUACUUUUUCAAAAGUG